rnacentral:rRNA from 1 species
UACGAAGGGUGCAAGCGUUAAUCGGAAUUACUGGGCGUAAAGGGCGCGUAGGCGGCCCACUAAGUCAGACGUGAAAUCCCCCGGCUUAACCUGGGAACUGCGUCUGAUACUGGAGGGCUUGAGUAUGGGAGAGGGAUGUAGAAUUCCAGGUGUAGCGGUGAAAUGCGUAGAUAUCUGGAGGAAUACCGGUGGCGAAGGCGGCAUCCUGGACCAUUACUGACGCUGAGGCGCGAAAGCUAGGGGAGCAAACGGG